rnacentral:lncRNA from 1 species
CUUUGGGAAAGGGAAAAAGAAAUGAUGGAGGAGACGGGAGAGGGGAGGUGGUGAAGAGAGGACCAGAGGAAGGUCCUUGUCUCACUUUGCAAGUUUGGUCUAGAGAGUCAUGCCUUGCUAGGGAGAGGGAGGAUGCUGAGGAUGAUUUCCCAGACUGGGCUUAGGGGUUUCUCAGCCAUGCUCCGAGUCCUGGAAGAUCAGGGCUGACCAGAGAUGGGGGGAGAAAGUUAGGGAUGUCGGAUUUUAGCCAUCUGCCCUUCCAGAACCUGGGGAGGCUGACGGCGAAGGUGGAGGGGUGAUCGAAGAGGUGCCUGGGUGGAAACAGGAACGGAAGGGAGGGAGCUGAUUGCAAUCAGCAAGCAUACUUUUUGUCUAGGGCCUCUCCCACAUUCACACACUGAGUGUGUGCGUGUAUGGAUGGACCCAGUGCAUGCAUGUAAAUGGGCAUAUGUAGAUGGGCACGCGGCCAAUGCUGUAUAGAUUUGUACAGUCGCAGGGCCUUAAAAUGUCAGGUUUUGGAGGAGGAGGAGGACAGCAAAUAAAAACUGAGCAGAAAAAAAAAGAAGAGGUGCUGGCUACCCGCUGGGACAUGACUUUUCAGUCCUCAGUCCCAGACCCCUUCUCCAGGGGGAACAAGGAGUGGGGCAAGAUGGAGAUGCUGAGGGAUCCAGAGAGCCUGCAAGGGAAAGGGGCAGAGACUUCAUCUGGCACAACACCCUAAUCCCCGCCCAGCCCCCGCCCUCGAGGAUCUAUGAAUUCUCGGUUCCAGCCUUCUACCCCCUAACCUGCCAGGCCCUUUCCCUAUCCAGACGGGCUGCCAGGGGACCGGGACCUAGGGGGAUGCCGAGAGACGGAAGAAGCCAGAGCGACAGGUAAGGGUGGUAGGCGGGGCAGGGGGAAGGGAGUUUCUUGGCAGCCAGGGGCCUGCCUCUGCGCACUCCCCAAGGUAACGGGAGUCAACUGCUUUCCAGUAGUUGAUGGGAUGGGGGUCUGAUAAGCCGAAAGGCAUUUUAGAGGCCUCUGGAGAAGCCCCCGGGCAAGAGACUGGAUUGCCCAAGCGAACACCUCGUCCUUUGGACAUUGCUCAUUAGCACCUCGUUCCUGGGCAGUGGGCUGGCGAAAGCUUUUGGUAUCGUGGCCAAAGCUUGACGACUGCCCUCCCAACUUGUGCCCCUUUGCACCCUGCCACAAGUUGCAGGACCCAAAAAACACACAAAAAUCACAGUGUGGGAUUUCCCAAAAUUAAAAAUAUAUGCGUUAAUAAAAAUUUAUAUGAAGACUCUCCCUAUUAGGCU